rnacentral:rRNA from 1 species
UUUGAUUAUGGCUUAGAUUGAACGCCUGGCGGCAGGCUUAACACAUUGCAAGUUCGAACGGUAACAGGGAUUAGCUUUGCUAAUUUUGCUGACGAGUGGCGGACGGGUGAGUAAUGCUUGGGAAUCUGGCUUAUGGAGGGGGAUAACUACGGGAAACUGUAGCUAAUACCGCGUAAAAUCUUCGGAUUAAAGGGUGGGACUUUCGAGCCACCUGCCAUAAGAUGAGCCCAAGUGGGAUUAGGUAGUUGGUUAGGUAAAGGCUGACCAAGCCGACGAUCUCUAGCUGGUCUGAGAGGAUGACCAGCCACACUGGAACUGAGACACGGUCCAGACUCCUACGGGAGGCAGCAGUGGGGAAUAUUGCACAAUGGGGGGAACCCUGAUGCAGCCAUGCCGCGUGAAUGAAGAAGGCCUUCGGGUUGUAAAGUUCUUUCGGUGACGAGGAAGGUUGAUAGGUUAAUAGCCUAUCAAAUUGACGUUAAUCACAGAAGAAGCACCGGCUAACUCCGUGCCAGCAGCCGCGGUAAUACGGGGGGUGCGAGCGUUAAUCGGAAUAACUGGGCGUAAAGGGCACGCAGGCGGUGACUUAAGUGAGAUGUGAAAGCCCCGGGCUAACCUGGGAUUGCUUUCUACUGGGUCGCUAGAGUACUUUAGGGAGGGGUAGAAUUCCACGUGUAGCGGUGAAAUGCGUAGAGAUGUGGAGGAAUACCGAAGGCGAAGGCAGCCCCUUGGGAAUGUACUGACGCUCAUGUGCGAAAGCGUGGGGAGCAAACAGGAUUAGAUACCCUGGUAGUCCACGCUGUAAACGAUGUCGAUUUGGGGAUUGGGCUUUGAGCUUGGUGCCCGUAGCUAACGUGAUAAAUCGACCGCCUGGGGAGUACGGCCGCAAGGUUAAAAACUCAAAUGAAUUGACGGGGGCCCGCACAAGCGGUGGAGCAUGUGGUUUAAUUCGAUGCAACGCGAAGAACCUUACCUACUCUUGACAUCCAUGGAAUCUUGUAGAGAUACGAGAGUGCUUUCGGGAACCAUGAGACAGGUGCUGCAUGGCUGUCGUCAGCUCGUGUUGUGAAGUGUUGGGUUAAGUCCCGCAAACGAGCGCAACCCUUAUCCUUUGUUGCCAGCGAUUAGGUCGGGAACUCAAAAGGAGACUGCCAGUGAUAAACUGGAGGAAGGUGGGGAUGACGUCGAAGUCAUCAUGGCCCUUACGAGUAGGGCUACACGACGUGCUACGAAUGGCGUAUACAGAGGGAAGGCGAAGCCUGCGAGGAGGAACGAAAUCUCAGAAAAGUGACGUCUGAGUCCCGGAUUGGAGU